rnacentral:rRNA from 1 species
GACGAACGCUGGCGGCGUGCUUAACACAUGCAAGUCGAACGGAAAGGCCCUGCUUUUGUGGGGUGCUCGAGUGGCGAACGGGUGAGUAACACGUGAGUAACCUGCCCUUGACUUUGGGAUAACUUCAGGAAACUGGGGCUAAUACCGGAUAGGAGCUCCUGCUGCAUGGUGGGGGUUGGAAAGUUUCGGCGGUUGGGGAUGGACUCGCGGCUUAUCAGCUUGUUGGUGGGGUAGUGGCUUACCAAGGCUUUGACGGGUAGCCGGGCUGGGAGGGUGACCGGACACAUUGGGACUGAGAUACGGCCCAGACCCCUACGGGAGGCAGAAGUGGGGAAUAUUGCACAAUGGGCGGAAGGCUGAUGCAGCAACGCCGCGUGCGGGAUGACGGCCUUCGGGUUGUAAACCGCUUUCGCCUGUGACGAAGCGUGAGUGACGGUAAUGGGUAAAGAAGCACCGGCUAACUACGUG